CACCAAAAUCUCUACCUACUGAAAACUUCUGAAGUUUUCAGUAGGUAGAGAUUUUGGUGGGGUUUGUAAUUUAUUACACUUUGAUUAAGGAUGAGGCUAAGUAUUCUGAAUUUUCCUUAAAUAUUAAAGUUACAAAGAAAGGCCACAUGUAUCUUAAAUUAAUGAAUUUAGAGUGGGAAUUCAUAAGAAAGCAGCACUUCUUUAGUUUAUAAAUUUGGAAAUUUUAUUUAAUUCCAUUAAAUGAUGUUUGGAAUACUGCAAACUAAAUCUUAAUGUGUAGACCCAGAUACAUUUUAAAAUAUUAUUUUUCUGUCAUUUCAAUAUAUAUUUAUUAAAGCAUAUUGUUUAAGCAAAAUAAAAUAUACCACAGGUGUGAAAUUACAGCUUGUAAUUUUGCUUUGUUUUCUUUUGUUUGUUUUGUUUUGUUGUUGUUGUUUUUUUGAGACAGGGCCUCACUUUGUCACCCAGGCUGGAGUUCAGUGGCAUCAUCAUGGUUCACUGCAACCUCCACCUCUCAAGCACAAGUAAUCCUCCUACUUCAGCCUCCUGAGUAGCUGGGACUAUAGGUGCACACGACCACCCCAAUUCUUUGUUUUUCUCUCUUCUUUCUCUCUCUCUCUCAUUCCUUCCCUCCCUCCCUCCUUCCUUCCUUCCCUCCCCUUCUUUCCCUUUCUUUCUUUCCUUUCUUUCUUUCCUUCUUUCUUUUUCUUUCUUUCUUCUUUCUUUCCUUCCUUCCUUCCUUCUUUCGUACAGAUGAGUUUUAGCCAUGUUCUAAAUUUCUAGGCCUAUUUUGAUAACUCGUCAAUUUUAUUUUUAAUAGGUAACUCUGAAUUCUUAAAAUAACUUGACACUCAUAGGAGAAUAAUGUAACAAAGUCAUAUAUAGGAAAUUAGUUUAUCUUUUCAGAUAAACUUACCUAACUAUGUUGUAAAGCAUUUGCACAAGUUUUUCAUUUUAUUCCAUUACCUUAUUUAAGGCUCGGGUGCUGAAAAUGGGAAUGAUAGAGAGCAAAGAUACUCAGGUUUAGGCCGGGUGCGGUAGCUCACACCUGUAAUCCCAGCACUUUGGGAGGCGGAGGUGGGUGGAUCACGAGGUCAGGAGAUCGAAACCCUCCUGGACAACAUGGUGAAACCUGGUCUCUACUAAAAAUACAAAAAUUAGCCAGGUGUGGUGGCAUGUGCCUGUAAUCCCAGCUACUCGGGAGACUGAGGCAGGAAAAUGGCUUGAACCAGGGAGUCAGAGGUUGCAGUGAGCCGAGAUCGUGCCACUGCACUCCAGUCUGGCGAUAGAGUGGGACUCCGAAAAAACAAAACAAAACAAAACAAAACAAAACAAAACAAAACACCAAGAUACUCAACUUUGGGCCAAUAAUUUUAGGACCACCAACAUAUUGUGAUUCAACGCAUGAACUGAAUUGGCUCAGAUGGGACUUAUGCUUUGGUUUCCUUCUUUGGUGUGAAGGAAUAGGGCCCCAAACAGGUUAAAU
rnacentral:lncRNA from 1 species